AGAAAUAUUUUCUUUGUGUAUUCGAAUUGUACACGAUUCUCCCGCAUUUUGGUCGGCGUAGAGUUUGAUCCUGGCUCAGAUUCAACGCUGGCGGCAGGCCCAACACAUGCAAGUCGAGCGGUAGCACAGAGAGCUUGCUCUCGAGUGACGAGCGGCGGACGUGUGAGUAAUGUCUGGGAAACUGCCUGAUGGAGGCGGAUAACUACUGGAAACGGUAGCUAAUACCGCAUAACGUCGCAAGACCAAAGUGGGGGACCUUCGGGCCUCAUGCCAUCAGAUGUGCCCAGAUGGGAUUAGCUGGUAGGUGGGGUAACGGCUCACCUAGGCGACGAUCCCUAGCUGGUCUGAGAGGAUGACCAGCCACACUGGAACUGAGACACGGUCCAGACUCCUACGGGAGGCAGCAGUGGGGAAUAUUGCACAAUGGGCGCAAGCCUGAUGCAGCCAUGCCGCGUGUGUGAAGAAGGCCUUCGGGUUGUAAAGCACUUUCAGCGGGGAGGAAGGCGGUGAGGUUAAUAACCUCACCGAUUGACGUUACCCGCAGAAGAAGCACCGGCUAACUCCGUGCCAGCAGCCGCGGUAAUACGGAGGGUGCAAGCGUUAAUCGGAAUUACUGGGCGUAAAGCGCACGCAGGCGGUCUGUCAAGUCGGAUGUGAAAUCCCCGGGCUCAACCUGGGAACUGCAUUCGAAACUGGCAGGCUAGAGUCUUGUAGAGGGGGGUAGAAUUCCAGGUGUAGCGGUGAAAUGCGUAGAGAUCUGGAGGAAUACCGGUGGCGAAGGCGGCCCCCUGGACAAAGACUGACGCUCAGGUGCGAAAGCGUGGGGAGCAAACAGGAUUAGAUACCCUGGUAGUCCACGCUGUAAACGAUGUCGAUUUGGAGGUUGUGCCCUUGAGGCGUGGCUUCCGGAGCUAACGCGUUAAAUCGACCGCCCGGA
rnacentral:rRNA from 1 species